ACCUAAGAGAUUAGGCGUUCCCUUCGGGGACGGAAUGACAGGUGGUGCAUGGUUGUCGUCAGCUCGUGUCGUGAGAUGUUGGGUUAAGUCCCGCAACGAGCGCAACCCUUAUUGUCAGUUGCCAGCAUUUAGUUGGGCACUCUGGCGAGACUGCCGGUGACAAACCGGAGGAAGGUGGGGAUGACGUCAAAUCAUCAUGCCCCUUAUGACCUGGGCUACACACGUGCUACAAUGGACGGUACAACGAGUCGCGAAACCGCGAGGUCAAGCUAAUCUCUUAAAGCCGUUCUCAGUUCGGAUUGUAGGCUGCAACUCGCCUACAUGAAGCCGGAAUUGCUAGUAAUCGCGGAUCAGCAUGCCGCGGUGAAUACGUUCCCGGGUCUUGUACACACCGA
rnacentral:rRNA from 1 species